AAAGAGUGAAGCCACCCACAGCACAACCAAUGUAAUGACGAUUACUGGCCACUCCAUUUAAUCUUUUUGCUAGCAGAACUACAGAUAGCACAGAAUUCUAUCAAUAUUCUUUUUGGAACAAGGAUGUUGGAUCUAGUACACAGAAAUUGGAACUGAUUUAAUCUUAUUGUGCAGUUUAUAAACCCUGAAGAAACAUGGAUCCGCCAUGGAGCUA
rnacentral:misc_RNA from 1 species